rnacentral:lncRNA from 10 species
AGUAGGGACGAAGGCCGCCACGCUGGUUUAGCCGAAGUUGGGGAGCCGCGUUUCUGUCCCGAUGAUUAAGGCUCCCUUCUGACCCCCACUGCAGGAGUUGUAGGUCUGAACUCAAGAAGACGGGUGGGCUAAGAAAGCGAAUGGAACCCCUGCGUCCUUUCCCCAGCCGAAAGAAACAGGGACAGGGAUUCAUCCAGCUCGUUGUAGUCUGAAGGAGCCAGGAACCUACCUGAAUGAUCUGCGCUGUGCCCUCUUAAGACUCAGGCGGACCAAAGAGAGUGCCCGAGGCCAGGAGGAAAAAGGCUUUAGCACCUCCCCUGACUUCUUCCUGGCCCUGAGCCACUGGAUCUCCAGCCCUAAUUUCUCCGCUCAGACUCAAACUUCCACAGAACCCCUCCACCUCUUCCCGCGGCUCUUUCUCCAGAAUGACUGGAAUUUAAGCAGCUUGGAGUGAUAACUACAUAUGGUGAUCACAAGCUCCGAAAUGGUAAUUCUAUGUGCCUGAUUAAUAAAACUAUAAAUG